rnacentral:rRNA from 1 species
AGCGGCAGCGCGGGGGCAACCCUGGCGGCGAGCGGCGAACGGGUGAGUAAUGCAUCGGAACGUGUCCUCUUGUGGGGGAUAACCAGUCGAAAGACUGGCUAAUACCGCAUGAGAUCGAGAGAUGAAAGCAGGGGACCGCAAGGCCUUGCGCGAGAGGAGCGGCCGAUGCCCGAUUAGCUAGUUGGUGGGGUAAAAGCCUACCAAGGCGACGAUCGGUAGCUGGUCUGAGAGGACGACCAGCCACACUGGGACUGAGACACGGCCCAGACUCCUACGGGAGGCAGCAGUGGGGAAUUUUGGACAAUGGGGGCAACCCUGAUCCAGCCAUGCCGCGUGUGUGAAGAAGGCCUUCGGGUUGUAAAGCACUUUCGGACGGAACGAAAUUGCGCGGAUUAAUAACCCGCGUAGAUGACGGUACCGUAAGAAGAAGCACCGGCUAACUACGUGCCAGCAGCCGCGGUAAUACGUAGGGUGCGAGCGUUAAUCGGAAUUACUGGGCGUAAAGUGUGCGCAGGCGGCGUUGCAAGUCGAGUGUGAAAUCCCCGAGCUUAACUUGGGAAUUGCGCUCGAAACUACGAUGCUCGAGUGUGGCAGAGGAAGGUGGAAUUCCACGUGUAGCGGUGAAAUGCGUAGAGAUGUGGAGGAACACCGAUGGCGAAGGCAGCCUUCUGGGCCAACACUGACGCUCAUGCACGAAAGCGUGGGGAGCAAAC